CUUUCAGAGCCACUGACACGCAGCACAAUGAUGAUGUCACUGAUUCUACUGCUGGGAACACUGGGACUCCUUGUUCAGGAAUCAUCAGCAGAUAUCAUUCUGACUCAGUCUCCUAAAUCUCAGUCUGUUAGUCUAGGAGAGUUUGUCUCUCUCAGCUGUACAGCCAGUUCAAGUACUGGUAAUGUGCUUAGCUGGUACCUGCAGAAACCUGGAGAAGCUCCUAAACUCCUGGUUUAUCAUGGUACAAAACGUCAGUCUGGGAUUCCAGGUCGUUUCAGUGGGAGUGGAUCUGUUAGUCCUUAUACUCAUUACACUCUGACCAUCAGUGGAGUCCAGGCUGAAGAUGCAGGAGAUUACUACUGUCAGCAGGGUGGCAGCACUCCGUUCACACAGUGUUAGAGCGUCUUACAAAAACCUCCCUCAGCUAAAGAGGAACUGCUCUGACUCAACAGCUGCAGAGCUACAGAGUCUCCCGUAUUCUAAAGUAUUCUAAACACCAAUUCUUUGAAAUAUGACACAUACUGGUACAUAUCUCUCAUUAUAUUCUCCAAAAAUAUCUAAUCUUUGUAAACACACUGGGACCAAUAAGGAUACAGAGCUGUAGAAAAUGCUUUCUUUUGAAGGACAUGUUAAGCAAAGUUCAGAAUUGGUUUACAUUUACGCUUGUAAGAAGAACCCAUUUCAGUACACAGCAGCAUGAUGUUGACCCUGUCUGAACCGAACUAUUCAUGCCCUACUCAACUUCCAUACCCCUCCAACCUUGAAAGAGUGAAUACAGUCAUAUAAUUUGCAUUCAAUAAAUACUACUUUGACAUCAAUUUGAUACAGUAUAUCACAUGGUUUCAGCAUUAGUAUCACUGUAGAUAUUCUUUUGACUGGCACCAAACUUGGCCCAAUCAGCUAAGCAUUCAUUCAGAGAGGUUCAUUAACUGAAAUGUACCAGUAGCAUUAUUUUUCACGAUACCUGUGUGGAUCUAUACUCUCCUGGACGACUUGACUCUGCAAGCUAGCCACCAUGCUGCUCUACCUCAGCCU